UACAGAGGUCUCAAGCGUUGUUCGGAUUCAUUGGGCGUAAAGGGUGCGUAGGCGGCGCGGUAAGUCGGGUGUGAAAUUUCGAGGCUUAACUUCGAAACUGCAUUCGAUACUGCCGUGCUUGAGGACUGGAGAGGAGACUGGAAUUUACGGUGCAGCGGUGAAAUGCGUAGAUAUCGUAAGGAAGACCAGUGGCGAAGGCGGGUCUCUGGACAGUUCCUGACGCUGAGGCACGAAGGUCAGGGGGGCAAACGGG
rnacentral:rRNA from 1 species